rnacentral:rRNA from 1 species
AUUGAACGCUGGCGGCAGGCCUAACACAUGCAAGUCGAGCGGAUGAAGGGAGCUUGCUCCUUGAUUCAGCGGCGGACGGGUGAGUAAUGCGUAGGAAACUUCCUGUGAGUGUGGGAUAACGUCCGGAAACGUGCGCUAAUACCGCAUACGUCCUGAUUGAGAAAGUGGUGGAUCUUCGGACUUCACGCUGUCAGAUGAGCCUAGGUCGUAUUAGCUAGUUGGUGGGGUAAAGGCCUACCAAGGCGACGAUCCGUAACUGGUCUGAGAGGAUGAUCAGUCAAACUGGAACUGAGACACGGUACAGACUUCUACGGGAGGCAGCAGUGGGGAAUAUUGGAAAAUGGGCGAAAGCCUGAUCCAGCCAUGCCGCGUGUGUGAAGAAGGUCUUCGGAUUGUAAAGCACUUUAAGUUGGGAGGAAGGGCAGUAAGUUAAUACCUUGCUGUUUUGACGUUACCAAAAGAAUAAGCACCGGCUAACUUCGUG